GACCCUUGGGGUCUUCAGUAAUGGCAUUGGGGACCAAUGACCUUGACAAAGGUCAAAAGGUCAAAGGUCAAGGUCAUGUCCCAGAUAGCGAAUUUAGUGUUUUUAACCUUAUUUAAAGGAUUUUUAGUGUGUUUUCGAGCUUUUUAAGGUUGACCUUGACCUUUUCAAUACAUUCUACGUCUGUUGGAACAUGUAUUUUACAUUAAAAAAGGAAAGACCUCUCAAUUGUUCAAGAACAAUUGACAGUUUAAUUAUUAGGUCUUUCCACUUUUCGUGGAAAGACCUAUUGUUUUUCUUCUGAUUAUUUUUUUUUUUUUUUUUUUUUUUUUUUUUUUUUUUCUUCUGCCGUCUGAGAUGCUUUUUUGUUUUACAACAUAUCGAAUGGAUGUUUGGCCAAUGAUGUUGUUCAGUGAUGGAGCUUUCAAAACUCACCCUGUGUGAGCGAACACUUAUUCUUAUAGGAGUUAUCUCCCCGCGUCCCCUUUUUCUUGUUAUUGCUAUAUCUCUAAAACCGUAAAAUAUUUUAACAAACUGUUUUCACCAAAUUGUUUGUCUACUCUUAAGAAUGAUUUGGUUUUUUUUAACUGAGGUGAUCAGAAGACAUCUUAUGGGAGUUAUUUCCCUUUGAAAAUUUAAAAUAAAUGAUAUGUUGGGUUGAUUCAUACGGUAUAAGUUGUAGAGGCCUACAGUCUUUUGAUAUGAAGUCCUUGGUCCAUAUAAAGGUAAUUGAGGUCAAGGUCAAAGGUCAAGGUCAUGUUAUAAAUUUUGAAUUUUGCUUGUUAUCGUUAUUCAAAAGAAACUGUAACAGUUAAUGAUAUGAACUGUUUGCCAAAUGAUUGUUUACAAUAACGCGCAACUUCAACCUAUUUCAGACGAAGUGUUUUGGUUAACCCUUAUAGGAGUUUUCUCCCCUUAUGUAUUUGAAAUCAUUAUUUCUCCACAACCAUAAAAGUGAUUGACCUCGGACCUUCUAAUUUGAGUUCACAGACCCAUGACCUUGAAAUUGAGGUCAAGGUUAAAGGUCAAGGUCAUGUUAUAAAUUUUGAAUUUUGCUUGUUAUUGUUAAUCAAAAGAAAC
rnacentral:lncRNA from 1 species